CAACAUUCUCUGUAACAAGCUUCAACUGGAAACCCCAGUUGUUUUAACUCUCGAGGACAGCAUGAGACGUCGUUUGGUGUAGUGGAUAGAGCAUUGGCCUGGGAGUCAGAAGCCGUGUCUCCCAGCAGAGUGGGACUGCAGCCACAGUGGCCCUGGAAAUGCCUGUUCUUCUCCCUGUUCAGCCACCCACCAGACAACCAGUGCCACAGCUGUGAUCCCACCUCCCAUAGGUGCAAGGCAGGGAUGGUGGCAGGGAAUAGCAGAGGCUUCCGCUUCAAUCUUGGUGGCCACACUGGAGGUGAAGACACUAGGGAGUAAAACAGCAAAGGUAAGUGAACUCUUGCUUGUGCUCCUAUCCAACGCCACUCCAGAUCUCCCCAUCUCUCCUGCUUUUUUACUCCAAUCCCCAACCCUCUCUCCCUUACACCCCCUGUCAUUCCAAAUCCCUUUCCGUCACUCUGGAUCAUGCAUCACAGAACCAGCUGUCCCUGUCCCCUGGAC
rnacentral:lncRNA from 1 species